CAAGGUCGUCUCCGGCUCCGUCGACCAGUCCGACCAGAGCUUCCUCGACGACGACCAGGUCGCCAGCGGCUGGGUGCUCACCUGCCACGCCUACCCCACCUCCGACGUCGUCAUCGAGACCCACAAGGAGGAGGAGCUCACCGCUUAAUUAUAUUUAUAUAUUUAAGCUCCAUCGUCACCAUGCAUCACAUCAACACACCUAAAUGCUACUAUCUAGUAUCUGCCUGCCUUGCAAGAGAUCGAUCCAUCUCCAUCGAGUUGACAGAUUAAAACCUGAGAAAUUUCUAGCUUCCUUGUAUCAUCCAUCCAUCAGUCAUGUCAAUGUCACCAUGAGACCAAGCAAGCAUCGGCAGCAGCAGGGCCAUCUGUUACCGUACAUUCUUGGUCUCUGUACCAUUCAUUUUUGCUGCGGAUGCAUGAUCGACUUCAUUCUCAUCAAGUAAUUAAUUAAUAAUGUUUUUUUCUCUUUGUACCAUUAUCAAUAUAUACUGUACUAUGGAUCUGUUUGGACGAGUUAAAUUUUAGCAUCCGCUAUCAGCACUCAUCGUAUCUUUGCUAAAAGUUUUGAGUUUUGACUAAAAUUCAGCCCAUCCCACUAGCCAGUACUUGUGUUUGGAUGGACUAGUACUAAACUUUAGUACUUUUGAGCAUUAGCACAUGGAUCCAACACCCUCUGUAUGUGUACGUAUGUAUGUACCAGACUGGAGGAUGUAUUACAGAAAUGCAUGCAGCUUUGAGUACUCCUAUGUGCGUAAUUGACGAUGCAUGGAUGAAUGAAGAUUGAAGCAUAAGUUUAAUCCAAUGCGUAUUUCUUUUCCUGCAGUUAAGCUCUCACCGGUUGCUAUUUGUGCUAUAUAUGUUUUCCUUCAAGAUUGGAUAUGUGUGGACUAGCCAGGCUAAUUUGUUCAGACCACCAAGAGCAGUAAAAUCUGUGUGAUGGGAUAUAGAUGUGUAUUAUGUAUAUUAUACAUAUACAGCUAAAAUACGGUAUCUUAUUUAAAUUUACUUUUUUGAAAUAUUUCUUCAAAUUAAUUUAUUUCUAUUGGAUAAAGAAUAAUAGGCAAAGACCGGCCACGCAACCAUAAUAUAUAUAAAACUGUCUCGCCCAUACCCGACCCCUUCUCUCUUCCAACCCCAACCCCAAACAGCCAAACCGACAUACAUGGAUACACCAUAAUAUUUCUCUCCAUUUUGUCUUACCAUACAUCCAUAUCAAAAUUUGAGAUCCAUUAAUUACUCCUACUGUACCCAUCUUCCUCCUGUACGUUGCCAUUGGCCGGAUCCUAUUGAGAAAACACAAACUCUCACAUCAUCACCUGAAAACGGGGCAAGGUUCAAUAAGCAUACACAACGACGAUAAUGUUCCUUUUGGAAUUUAAUUUUUUGGGGGUCGGUUUUAGCGGCAUUCCCUAUCUGUGUUAAAAGGAAACUUGGGGCUGCAUGCUAACCUAUCAAAAGAUGCGGAUGGCGGCACUAAGAGCAACUUCAGCAGUUGCCCCUAAAUUAGACCCUCCAAAUGCUAAAUUGGGGCUGCCUCUAUUUUUUAGAGACUUCUAAAUUUGCUUCAACUCCAGCAAUAGCUCUCAAUUGUAACUUACAAGAGGGCUCCCUAGAGACCCCCUAGGAAUAGAGAGUGGAGAAGGGUAUUUGAAGGCCUUCCCAAAAUAGAGGGUCUAGUAGAGGGUCUACUGGAGUGCAUCUUUUUGUUUCAUCAUCUAAACUUGAGAUAGCAAUAUGUUUAGAGGGUCCGCUGGAGUUGCUCUAAUAAGAAAGGAUAGCCGCCGUUGGGAGGUUCCGAUAAGGGGCUAACACUAUGAGAAGGGAUAAAUCAUAGGGAAGAAAUGGAAGAUGGGACGAAUAGAAGGAAAGGAAGAGAAAAAGCAAUCACCGGAUCCUAAUAUGAUGGCUGAAGCAGUUGGUCGAUCGGAAAAUGGCAAUUUUCAAAUUUGAAGCAGUUGAAAUACAUCAUAGCCCAUAACUUUGCUUGUAAUCGUUCAGGUCACUCGAUCACUCCAAUCAGAUGCUAGCAUAAGAGAAAAACCAAUGCCAAAAAAAAGGUGGUGGGAAAUUAUUGCUAGACAUUCCAAAUGAAGGGUCCAUUAUACCUGAUCGGAGGCUGCCUGACCCGAUGAACCCAAACCGACCCGCCCAAAAAGAACCAGACCCUAUCCGACCCGAAAAGUGCAUGGCCGGGCACGGGCCUACUUUUUUUGACCUAAACAGAAAUUCGAGCCGGGCUCAGGCCGCAAUUUUAGCCCGUGGGCCGGCCGACGACUCGAAAAAAAUCCUUCAUUCUCUGCAGCCUACGGAAUCCUAACGGCCCAGCCCAACAAAGCACACAGCAGCCCCACCUCCUCCCCUGGCCGCCGGGCGCACACAGCAGGCAAGCCGCCCCCUCCCCUCCCCACACCGGUAAGCCCCUGCCCUCCCUAUCUCCUUUGCACGGCGCGGCGUCCAGGCUGUGAGGUGACCAAGCGGCGUGGCGCGAGCGGCGGCCAGGCAGCGUGGAGGCCCGGCUGCGUGGCGGCCAAGGAUGCCCUCAUCGAGACAAGAAGAAGAUCUAAGUACUUCAGCCCCGGGCCAGCCCGCGGGCUGUCGAGCCACGCAUCGGGCGAGCACGGGCCAAGAUUUGCAGCCCAAUGCUUGGGUCGGGUCGGGCUUAGGCCAGCAGAAAUAAGUCAGGUCCCUUUCGGCCCGGCCUGAACCCAGCUCGACAUGAGAUAUGAUUUGGUCCAGGGUCCAUUUAUGUACAAUGGUGAUUGGUGAUUUCAGAUCUCUGGCCAGAAUGGCAUGAAGAUACACUCUAAAGUAGUUGACGACAACCACACAGAACGAACUGUGUGUGUAUAUAUAUAUAUAUAUGAGUUUUUUCUACACUCGCGUGUAGCUACUUUCAUCAUCAGUAUACCACCAUGAGUAUGUCCGCAUACUCAUUUAUCACUUUUAGUAUGUUUAUAUACUAAUUUUAAGAUACUUCAUAGUGAUAUGUACAACAAAUUUUAAAAGCAUCCCUAUUUUUUAAAUAUAUCAUGAUUAUAUAUUAGUACUAGUAUAUAAAAAUAAGUAUGUCCAUAUAUUCCAUGUAUGGCCAGAUACUUAAAGUAUAUAUACCAUCACAAAUGGUCUAGUAUGAUUACAUACACCUCGUACGUACCUUUCGUUGGGUCAGAUACGCCCUACGUUACGAGAUAUAUAUUAUAUAUAGGAGUAGCUAUGAGCGCGUGUAAAAUAAAUUAUAUAUAUAUAAUCACGUAGCUAGCUCGUGGCCUCCACGCGCUCAUCACCCAACCAGUGGCUGGCUGGCACACGGUCUAUCUAUUUUCUAUAGAUACCGUAGUCCGUAGUAGUGAGAAUGAAUUGUUCUUAUUUCUCUGUCAGUAAAAUUCAUGGUCGAUCAGAAUUCUUGAGGACGUUUGGAAUUUAGCGAGUAGACAGAGGCCCUGCUAAUUUUCCACCAUCAUAUCGAUGGAUGCAGACCAGACAGACAGCCCCCGCCACCGCCAAUGCAAGAAGAUAAGCCUAGCUCCACGCUGCACCCACCCCAUCCCCUCAUUUCACUUUGAGCUUCCAGCUGCUAGCUAGCUCCAGCUCCAAGAGCAGCCCCUCUUGCAUUGCUAGCUACGCUACGCGCCAUGGCCACCGUCCUGAGCAGCCUCCGCGCGCCGGCCAGCUUCUUCCCCGGCCUCCGCGCGGCCGCCCCGGCGCCCGCCACCGUCGCGGUGCCCGCCGCCAAGCAGCAGCAGGUCGCUCGCGGCGCCAGGCUGCGCGCGCAGGCCACCUACAACGUGAAGCUCAUCACGCCCGACGGCGAGGUGGAGCUGCAGGUGCCCGACGACGUGUACAUCCUGGACCAGGCCGAGGAGGAAGGGAUCGACCUGCCCUACUCCUGCCGCGCGGGGUCCUGCUCCUCCUGCGCCGGCAAGGUCGUCUCCGGCAGCGUCGACCAGUCCGACCAGAGCUUCCUGGACGACGACCAGGUCGCCGGCGGCUGGGUGCUCACCUGCGCCGCCUACCCCACCUCCGACGUCGUCAUCGAGACCCACAAGGAGGAGGAGCUCACCUCCUAGAUCUUUCUGAUGCCUGGCGUCGUAAUACCACAUGCAUGCUACUACUAUGCUUGCUUAUUAUUAUUAUUAUUAUCUCCGUUGAUUUCUUGGUUACGUGUUGAUUACCGUCGUGCUACUUAAUUGGUUUGCAAUUGAGCUAUAUAUAUGUAAUUUGGUUUGCAAAUGUCGAGUUUAUUAGCUUCUUUUUUUUGUUGCUGAUGUUGCUCAGAUACAUGUAUAUUGGGGUUCACUGUCCAGCAAUUAAGACAUUUAAUACUUAAAUGACAUGCGCUAGUCUAUGACGUAGUGAAAUAAAACUUUGCAUUAUAUUGGGAUAUCUUCAUCAAUUUCGAAUGCCAUGACUCUUUCGAAAACAGCACAUGGAAAUGUUGUAGUACGGCAAGUGGGCCCAAAUUUAUUUUAGGACUAGAAAAGCCGAAAAGGGGAGCGGUGAGCGGUGAAAUCUUGCGGCCCAUGGGCUGUUGUACAUACCUCUUCACUCACUACAGGGACCUCGUGGGCUGGAUCUUCGAUUCUUUCUUUAAUUUGACAAGCAGGUGCAGUCUUGAUCGAAGAAUCCAGAUCCUCUGCUUACACAUGGUUCUGGAAAUACUAAGUAGAUGCAGAGAAAUAAAGCUACUAGUAGGCAGCCUGCAUGCAACGGGACACGUACAAGGGCAGUGUGGUGUCGAGCCACGUCGCCGCCGCAAGGACGCCGAGGUGUCCCUGCUGUCCCGACGCGCGCAACCAUGCAUCACCGCUCCAACUUUAAAUACGCAUGCAAGCCCAAGAACCUGAUCAUCAACAUCAAGCAAAUCUAGCUACUGUAACUAUCAUCAGCAUCAGUUUAGUUAUUAUUCAGAUUGAGGUAGCUAGCUAGCGAGAUGGCGCAGAGCGAGCGCAGGAUGAAGCACGGCACGGCGCAGACCAAGGUGGCCGGCGACGACGAGAUGCUGCGGACCGGCUUCCACAACGGCACCCCGCUGGAGGCCGGCAAGGUCGCCGACUCCCAGCCCGUCGACCUCUUCGCACCCGCCCACCGCAUACCCUCACAGCAGCAGCAGCAGGAAGCAGACGAGGCAGCAGCAGCAGGGAGGAACAGCAGGGUCAUCGCGGAGUCGGAGCCCGUGGACCUGCCCGCGAGCGCCCGGGGCCUGGCCGAGGCCAACGAAGACAAGAAGCCGGCGCAGCAGGGGCGGCAGGGGAUGGCCGAUCAGCACGCCGCCUGGGACGCCAGGCUUAACUGAGUCGUUACUUGCUUGUCUGCAUGCAGCAGCAUGCGCUAUGAUCUAUAUAUGUUUCUGUAUGAAGGAAAUAAUAAGCAAGGCGCGCCGUCUCUUGCACCAACACCAACACCAGCGUUUAAUUAAUUUCAUGUUCCUUUCGCGUACAUGAGUUUCGGAAAGAAAGACUUGAUUUGGUUUCAUGCUUUAGUUGCAAUCAAAUGACUUGUACUGUGGAUGGUGCCACUCUGAAGCAAUGCAUGCCAUCUGAACAACUUAUCGAUAGACCGGAGUAUUCAUUCAAAUUCCCAAUCAGUUUACAUAUACAUAGUUACUAGUAUUAGUAUACGUGGAGUAUAUCCACGUACUGUAUAAAUAUAUAUGCUCUUUGCUGGGUCAAAUACGUGUGUGUGUGUAUAUAUAUAUAUAUAUGUAUGUAGGAGUAGCUAAGUAUAAGUGGGGUGUAGAAUGAAUUUUCCAUUUAUAUAUAUAUAUAUAAUAUAAUAUAAUAUGCGUAUAUGCGUGGAUGCAUGCCAUUGAAAACGUUUCUCUACCAAAUACGCUCUUCUGUCCUCUUAAAUGGUGUACUUGUUGGUAAGACUUUCUAUGUCAAAAGAGGAACGAGACAAGGAGAUCCUUUCUCUACUUUUUGUUGUGGUCUUUUUUCUUGCCAGCUGAUUUCUUACGAACUUAACUUUGGUCAAUCAUGCCAAAUUAAGACCAAGGCUGACUCAUCUUCCAAUUCCAUAUCAGUGCACAACACAGAUUUUUCAAUUGUCCAAAUUGUCCAGUAUGCUGAUGAUACUCUAAUCAUUAGAUUUUCUAAUUAGAUUUUCCGAUUGUCCAAAUUGUCUAGUAUACUGAUGAUACUCUAAUCAUUACAGUGAAUUUCAGUAAACUCUGAUGGUGCCAAUCAACAUCAAUCACGACAGGCUAAACCUCCUUGCAAGCACUUUUAGCUGUACAACUGGCAGCUUCCUCUUCACUUAUUUCGGGAUUUCACUAAGCACCUCAAAACUAGCUGUGACAAAUUUCUUACCCUUGGUCAAAAAGUGUGAAACAAGAUAAAUAGCCACAUCAACUUUUCUCUCUCAUGUAGGAAGAUUACAGAUGACUAAUGCAGUAGUCUUUACUUCAAUUCCAAUGCUUCAGCUGGGAACAUUAUUGCUGCCCAAAACGGUGAUCAAGCAAAUUGACAAGUACAAAAAGCAUUGACAAGUACAGAAAGCAUUGCUUAUAGAGAGGCUCAAUUAAUCCAAAACAACCACCAAAAGUGGCAUGGACUAUGGUCUAUUUAGUAAAUGAAGAAGGUGACCUAGGAGUUCUGAACCUAGCAACACAAAAUGAAGCUCUUCUUCUCAAAAACCUGCAUAAAUUUUAUAACAAAAUAGACAUUCCUUGGGUACAAUUAAUCUAGGAGAAGCACUAUAGCAAUGGCAGGCUACCAGACCAUGUGAAAAAGAUUCUUAUUGGUGGAGGGACAUCUUUAAGCUCCUAGAUACAUUCAAAGGGAUUGCAAAAGUCAAAUUAGGGAAUGGAACAACUUGUCUCUUCUGGACAUGUGUGGAGGGAUCAGAUCCCUAGCCUGAUAUUUCCAGAGUUGUUCUCUUAUGCUAAGAACAGAAGUAUAUCAUUUCAUAGGGCUACAACUUUUGAACCUUUUCAUAGACUCUUCCAUCUACCACUUUCAGAAAUAGCAUAUGAUCAGCUUCGGACUUUGGAACAAACCUUACUGUCUGCGGCACUUUCCCAGGAACCUGAUAGUUGGUCUUACAUUGGGGGAGCUUUCACUUCUUCUCUACAAAAGCCUAGAGACAGCUCACAGGACAUGCCCAAGAUCACCCAGCAUUCCAAUGGCUCUAGAAAUCUAGCUGUCAGAACAAGCAUAAGGUCUUUUGUUGGCUUCUCUUAAAGGAUAGAUUAAGCAUACGAAACACUUUUAGAAGAAAGACUAUGGCCUUGGAUUCCUAUAAUUGUGUCCUUUGCAAUGGUUCUGUUGAAGAAACCUCAGAGCACCUCUUCUUUCAGUGCCCCUUCCCACAGAAUUGUUGGGACUUUUUACAUGUUCAUGUACCCACACAAGCUUCAACUUUUGAUGCCAUGGAACACCUCAGGAUUGGGCUACAAUCUCCUCUUUUUCAUGAGUCUGAUUAUCCUCCUCUGCUGGGCAAUCUGGACUGCAAGAAAAGACCUUAUUUUUCAAGGAAUGCAACCAUCUCUUCAUGGCUGUCGAAUCACUUUCAAGAAUGAACUCGAGCUGCUGUUGCACCGAGUCAAAGUAAAGCAUAAGCGACACUUAGAAGAAUGGCGGAGAAACUUUGUUUAGACUCUGUUCUCUUUUUUGAUUUUCUUCACCUCUUUUUUUGUUUUCUAAAGUUCUUGUGUAUAAACUCUACCUUUUAUUUAUUUUAAUAUAUAACCAGUAGGGGCUCAACACCCCUCCUGUUCCUUAAAAAAAAAUACCGCUCUUACUUCUAUGGUACGUGGGUUUGGAUGCUAAAGAAGUUGGGCAGAGAAAGUUGUAGCAGCAAUUAAAUACUGUUAGAAACUGUGUCUGCCUUAAGUUUGGACAAAGUUGCAAACUAGCAAUUCAGUUCUCAGUUCAACAUGAUGUAUACAGUAUAUGUAUUUAUAGUGAAACGGAAAUUGGAGCAAAGGCUAGUGGGCCCCCUUGUCCAAAGGCCCAUCGCUAGCAUUGCUGCUAAAAUACACAAAAAUGUCAAGUGCGGAGUGUUGGUUGACAUUACAAACUGUCAGCAAGUGAUGGGAUCCGCCAACAGACAGAAGCUGCUGCAUGCCGGCCUCCUCCGAGCCACUAGACCACAAGUAGUAGGUGAUGGAUGAUCCGCCCUCCGCCGCCGGCGACUCCCUCGCCGGCCGUGCUCUUCUUCUGUUUGCCGAUCCGACCGCAAGGUAGUACGGACUUGCUCGACGUGGCUGCCGUCUUUGACUCGCUCCCGCGCGCCCCACACAGUCACUGUCACAGCGAUGUUGACCGCUGGCUCGUGCGCUGUGGGCCCGCGUCUCCAGGGUGAGGUAUCGCGCGUCCAGAAGCUUCGCGGCCAGCUCGUGGCCCUCGCCGGCAGGACACGUGGCGGCGACGGCGGCAGAUGCCGCCGCCUGUCCUGUCAGAGUGUUUGGGACUGCUGCUGCUGCUGCUGCUGCUGCUCCUAAAUUAUUGCCUUGUCCUUCAUUUUCAUUGCUAUUCUUCCCUUCCCGUUGGUGAUUGAGCUCGAUCUCUUGGUGGGUGAUUCUCGCAGCGCAGCCGGACCGGCCGGGCGAGCUGGCGCGGGUGGUGCCGCCGGCGCCGGCCGGAGAGCCGAGGUGAUUGAUGGUGAUGGCCAGCGCCGGCGUCAACAUGCCUGGCGGCGACGGGAACCCAUCAGCCGCAGCGUCCUCCUCCACCCCGGAAUGCCGGCUCCGCAGGCGCCGCCGCCUCGCGCCCCCGCGCGCCGCGGCCGCCGGGGGGGAGAAGCGCGUCCGCCCGGCCUCCCCGUCUUCGUCGUCGUCGGAGGACGACUCGGUGGAAGGGGAGGAAGGAGAAGCGGACGCCGCGGUGGAAGGGGACGAAGAGGGGGGAACGACGGUCUCGGCGGCCGGCGGGCCUCAGCCGCCUCCGCCCCCCGGCCCGGCGCAGGCGUGGCCGAUGGCGUUCGGGUGGCUGUCGGUGGCGGGGCGGUCGCGGGAGAUGGAGGACGCGGUGUCGCUCCGGCCGGGCUUCUGCACCUGGGUGGACGGCUCGCCCAUGCACUUCUUCGGCGUCUUCGACGGCCACGGCGGAUCCCAUGUAAGUAUGUACGUACGUCUCGCCGGCGGCGGAAUUUGCAUUGUUAGCUCGCUGUCCUGUCCUGUCUCUCGUCUAAUUAAAUUAAUCUCUCUCGAACCACCCAAUCGGUUUGGUUUGGUUUGGCUUAUCAUCCCAAGAUAAGAAGAUUUCAUGCAUGCUUUCUUCGGUUGCUGCUUUCUGUUUGAGUUUUAGUACUACAAGAUUGAAUGAUGAAACCAAAAGAGAAAGAAAGAGAGAAUUGAAGAAGAUGCUAUGAACGAAUGCAACGCAUGCAUGUGUACGUGUCCAACCAGCUGCAAGCAGGACACGAACAAUUGAGAAGCAGCAGUCAGUCAGUCAGUAUUCGCUGCUGCUCUCCUAGUACCAAGCAGCAAGCAGGUGUCCACAUUCUUGAACAUUCCGAAUGAGUUCGUUGGACCUCGUGGAUUGUCGUCUUCUCCUAUAUAUUAUUCCCUGCUAGCAUUGCAUUCUUUGUUGGGACAACAAAGUUGUAGGUAUUAGUGCAAGCAAGUACGUGUCGUGUCACCACUGGUCGAUCGUAUAUAUAUUUCAAGCUGGUGACGAUGCAAUAAUCGCAUGCAUGCAGGUGUCCACGCUGUGCCGGGACCGGAUGCACGAGUUCCUGGCCGAGGAGCUCGCCGCCGAGGGGGCGGCCUUCCAGAUCCAGCAGCCGGCUGCGGCGGCGGCGGGGGAGGAAGCAGCUGCAGCUGCAUCAGGGACGACGAGCUCGGCCGCCGUAGAGCAGGAGGAGGAGGAGGAGCGGGCGUGGCGCGCGGCGCUGGCGCGGACCUUCCGGCGCGUCGACGCCCUGGCGUCCCUGGCGUGCGCGUGCGGCCGCAUCGUGAGCCCGCCCUGCCGGUGCACGCUGUCGGGCAACUCCGGCAUCGUGGGCUCCACCGCCGUGGUGGCCGUCCUGGUCCGCGGCCGCCUCGUCGUCGCCAACUGCGGCGACUCCCGCGCGGUGCUCUGCCGGGGGCCCGCCGGCGCCCCGCCCGUCCCGCUCUCCGUCGACCACAAGGUAACCUGUCUGCCGAUGCGACACGCACCCCAGUCAUCUGGUCGACCGUUGACUCGUGCCUGGGGUACGUGCACGGAUGUCGAAGCGCGCGGGGCCAUGCAGUGGCAGUCCCGUGGAUAGGUCGCAACUUUUGGGGGCCGGGCAGCCAUCGCUGUCGCCGGGAGCACACGUAGCGGGAGAUUCCGGGGUCGCGACGGACACGUGUCGGUGCCGUCGGGGGCACGUGGGGCGACGGCGGGUGCAGGGGGGACCCGCCGGCGGACAGGCCGUGGUGGGCGGAGGCGACACCUGCCGCUGCUGGGUGCUGAGGCGAGAGGGAGAUGGUGAUGGAGAUGGGUCAGUGGCUCAGUCCAGUGGUGCUCUCUCUCUUUUCUCCUUUUUUUUUUCCCUCUCCCUGAUGAGUGAUGGCUGGGUGGUCAGCAAGAACUAGGGAGCUGCUGCUUUUAGUGGCAGGGAAAUUAGGACCUGCCUGAAUACCAAAAGCUUGGGUGCGCCAACGUUCGUGCUUUCUGAUUACGACGCCAUGUAAUUAGGGUUCUGCUAAUUGCUGAUUUGCUGUCACGUACCCCUCCUAAUAAUUUUGCACUGUAGUACUUCCUACUUAUUAAUCACCAAGCAGUGCUGCUACUCAUCCUAAUGCAUACUACAUACGUGCAUAUGCAUGUUUACAGCGGUUAUUUGGUCAUUCUCAACCUGACUAGCUGCUAUUGCUAAUUGCUAUACAUACAGUAGCUUGAACUUGAAGAAACGAGGCAUCAAAAGGCUGCUAGUGCUAUACAUACAGUUAGCUACAAUAAAUCCUCAUGUGUUUGGGACUGCUGCAGCUAAGCAAUUGCCGUUUGUUUUUGAUCAACUACUGCUAAAUGGUUUGCAGCCAGACCGGCCGGACGAGCUGGCGCGGAUCGAGGCGGCUGGCGGCCGGGUGGUGUACAUCAACGGGCAUCGGGUGCGUGGGAUCCUCGCCAUGUCGCGCGCACUAGGUAUGGUAUGCCUGCCUGCCUCCGCGUUUACACACACAGUUCGAUCCAGGGUCAUUCUAGUUCCCUGAACAUUAUUAGCUCCUCAUACAUCAAAUCUGAAACUAGUGUCAUCUAUCGAGGGCUGCUAGCUAGCUUGGACAGGCAAUGUUAGCAAAUGCUAGGACCAUUAUAUUUGUGCAGGUUGUGCCGUCUGAAUCCGACUAGUGUUCUCAUUUAAGCAAGAAAGCGACACCUUUGUGUGCCCACGUGUUUGGUUUCUCGCAUCUCGAUCUUAUUUGAGGUUGAUACAUGCUACUUUGGAUGAGCCUUAUCGUUAACUGAAUAUUCUUGUUCACGGAGCUAUUGAUGCGUUUGGAGGACUAGUCAUCAAUACAUGCUCUUUUCAAAAGUCAUCAAUACAUGCAUAUGAGAACUUAGUAUCAUAUCCAAACAAACAAAGAGUUCAGACAGCAGGGGAGUCCAUGAACUUCUACUUCACCAUGAGCCACAUUUUCUCUUUCUCCACACAACUUCAGUAUUGCCAAUGUUGCUUCAACUGACGAUGAACCCAUGGUUUUGUGUGUGCUGCCCGCACUCUGUGGCUGCGCGUUGCGGCUUGACCACCUUGCAGUGGUGCUCAUUGACAUGAUCGAACGUCACCCUGGACAUAGGAGCCGUGCUUGCCCUGUCCGGAGGCAGCAUUCAAGUGGCGGUCCAUUCCACGGCAGAGCAAUAGGCAGAUACACGUCAAUUCUAUGGUUACAUAUUCUAGUUGCUUGAGAAUUGAUUAAUUCAUCCAUCAAAUCGGAAACUAGAGCUGCUUAGAGUGGCAAUGUUGGCAAAUGCUAGGACCAUUUGUGUGGGUCGUUGUGCCAUCAGAAUCUGACUAGUGUCUUAUUUAAAGAUGACAGCAACACCGUUGUGAGCACGGGUUAGCUUCUUGCAUUUUGAUUUGAUUUGAGGUCGACGUCACUUUCCUUUGGAUAAGCCUUACCUAUAACUGAAUUUCCUUAUUCAUGGAGCCAUUGAUGUGUCUGAGGGAGUUCACUAGAAAUGGAGAUUAUAGAAAUUUUCCAUGGACAUACGCGUGUUGCCUGACUUUUUGGUGUUGGGUUUCAAUUUGGUAAUAUAUUGCACACUAAGGUUUGAAGGGAAUAUUAUAGGAAAAGGUGGAAUAUUUUGUAGGAUCCGUUUCAGAAACACGGAAUGGCAGAGAAAUUCAAAUUAUGUGAGCCUAUUUUUUGACAAGGGAUUAUGUGAGGCUUAGAAAGAAGUCCUGCAUAGAGUCCUUUGGUAUGGUUAAAAACAUGUUAGACAAAACUAUAUCUGAAAGGGCGAUUCUGUUAGUCACUUUCCAUCUUUUAAGAGACCAAAACAGAAAUUAUUCCUCUGCAUCUUGACAUAGCUCCACCAGUUAAGGACUGCCGGGUGUUGUGGAAUCGAAUUGGCAAAUAUAUAAUCAAGUCUCUACUAUAGCUGUUCCUUUAAGCUCCAUACUGCAAAAAGUAUGGCUUGUAAGCUUCGUGUAAUAAGCGAGGUAAGAGUAUGGGAAUCCAUGCCUUUUGUUCUAUGAAACUAAUUAAGUUUUCUACUGUUGCUUUUGUGAUAUACAUGGGAGUUUUGCAUGUCCACUAGUAUUCUUCAUUAGCUCACACAAUAUCAACCACAGAAUAUAGAAAGUUCAGCUUUUGAUGAGCUUCAGAAGCAUGUUACUACUUGGUAGUUGCUGAUGAGUAGAUAAACAGUCACAUCACCGGCCACAUGCAUGUUAAUUGGCUUAAGGUUCAACUUUCAGCUAGCCCUUGAUGGUGCCGGCGAUUCAGUUACUUGUGUUAUCGGACAUGACGGAGGAAACACAUGGAGCGGAAUCUAGAAGCCACGAGUUCAUCUCCAAUUCGUGGAUCGUUCCUCUGUUGCUAACCGAACCUACGAAAAGAAGUUGGUGGGGAUAUAGCAGGUCGUUCAACCCAUUAGGUUAGGGGCUGGUAGGGAUGUAUGUUGUCUUGUGUUGCAUUGUGUCCUGAGCACAUGACAGUGAUGUUGCAAAGCUUGAUGACUUGCUAAAUGUGUAGCCGUUGGUGCAGGAGACAGGAUGCUGCGUCCUGAAGUGAUUGCUGAGCCCGAGAUCACCAUAACCGACCGGACGCCGGAGGACCAGUGCCUGAUCCUGGCGAGUGACGGGAUGUGGGAUGUGAUCCCGAACGAGAUCGCCUGCUCCGUGGCGCGGCAGUGCCUGGAAGACGGGAACCCGGCUCCCGUGGACGACGUGCCGCCGACGGCAGGCGGCGAGGGUGCUGCCGCUGCGGCCGUAGCCGAAAGCUCUGAGCCGGAGGCCCGGUGCUCCAGGGCGGCGUCGCUCCUCGUCAGGCUCGCGCUUGGCAGGACCACCUGGGAUAAUGUUAGCGUCGUCGUCAUCGAUCUCAAGCAGAGGGAGUAGCCUCUGAUGAUGGUGCCGAUCUGAUCAUGUCAUUCAGCUGAGCCUGGAUGUCAUCGUAGCAGCGACUCCGGUAGUGAACUGAUCCUGGGUGGAGGUGCAGGGCAGUGGUCUAGACUGAACUUGGGAUGAUUUUCUUGGUUCUUACGAUUCGAAUUGUUGUUUUCUAAGUUACAUUCGGAGAGAAAGAAAGUGCCGUCCACAAAGAAAAGAAACAAAAAGAUCGAAGAGAGGGAGAGAGAGAGAGCACAAUUGUACAGGGUAUUAUGCGACAAUUAUGUACAUUACCAUCAUCCAUAUAAUCGGCUGGACAUUUGCAGUCUGGCUGCAGUUUAUUUGCAAGCGAUGCUCUGCUAUCAGCUGCUAACGUGUGUUGUACAUGCUGUCCUGUUAUGUUCUACGUCGUUAUGUUCUGCGUCUAAAGUCAGGAUGUUUUUAAGCCAAACCCUGAUUUUUCCAGAAUUCGGUACUUUUCUCCUCCAACAGUGACAUAUGCCAACAUGUAGAAUGCUUGCAUUGCUGUUUCUUUCAGGAACUGGCUGCGUUCAUAGUUUAGUCCGUACAGCAGUCAACAGUACUGACAGCAUCAGCUCUACGGAUGACCAAGCAAGUAUGAGCAGGUAUGUUCACAACUACCAAGUGAGCAACUAUCCUAGUACCAUAUCAUACUGAAAGGGGAACACCAAGUACCUUAAGUACGAUUUUUUUUAAAGAAGAAGAUGAAGAAGAGAUCUUACAGGCUCAAACCUCAAAAGACAAACUCCAUAUAAGGUUCCUACUAAGCUGCAUCAAUAUACACGCUAAACAUUCAUCAAACUGGACAGGGGCUGACAUUUCCCUCUUCAAGAUGCAGCAACAAACACGUCAACUCUUGGGCACUAAAAACAUAUCAUGAUUAACUACAUUACAUGCCUCAAAGUAGGCGAAGCCAAAACUACUCCCGCUACGUGCACUCAAAACUGCUCCUUCAGGACUCGGCAAGUAAAAUUGCUCACAUUUUGAGGCUGCCGAUUAUCUGUUCUUACAAGCAUUUUAGAUUUUCAGUAUAACCAUCGAGGGUGCCCCAUCGACUAGCUCACGUUAACAUGUCAGUUUGGCACCAGAUAUGGUUUCUCACGGGAGCUUACAGGAGCCACCAUUGCUGUUAAAAUGGCGAAUUUUGCUGCAGAAAUCAGCACCCUGGUAGCGACUUAGAUGAUGUGUCAGAAUCAGGACAAUGCUGUAGGUAGAGCUAACGGAAUGACUGAGUUGAUGCAGCAGCUGAUAAACUUGUCUCCGAGUCGCCACCGUGCUGCAGCUGGGUCUGUUGUGGUGACGGGGGCACCAUGGUGAACAGGCUCGGGCCUGACAGCGUGCAGUGCCGCAGGUAAGGAUGCCGCUGCCCUGAAGAUCCAGGGUAAUAACUUGGAGAUCCAUGGGACACUUGUGAUGAACCUAUAUACCGACUAGGCGAUCCAUAGCCAGAACUGGAGACGUGUGGUGAAGUAUACCUGAUGUUGAUUGGUGGAGACAAAUGGCCACCGUACAAAGAAUGUGCGGAUGCAAGGUGCGAUGUGCGAGACCAUGGGGAUGACAUAUUUGCAAGGUCUGCAUUGCUUGCACUUGUGCACAUGGGAGGUGAAUUUGCAUAAGACCUAUUGAGGUUAGGGGUGCGGGUGAUACUGGAACCUGAAAUGGAGUAAUUGCGAGAUAUGGACUGUGAUGAAGCAUGCCGGUUGAUUGGCCUAGGAGGAGAUGCUGCCACUGCUGACAGGAAGGAGGCCAAAGCGGUUGAUUCAGCAGGUCGCCGAAUAGCAGAAGAAAGCAAAGGGGUAGACUCUGAUACAGGGGGGUUUGAUGUUCCAGCCUUUGCGUCCCGCUUGCAUACAGGGCAGAAUGUUCGCCACGAGGUAAGCCACAGGUCCACACAAGCUGCAUGGAACUCUGCACAAUGAAACGACAAAACCUCAGGGCUCGAGUUAAGAAUAAAGCUUGACAUAGAACAAGGGUUAAGAAAGAUGCAGCAACAAGUAUGCCAGGUUAAUUUGAUAUAAGUAGCACAGGGGAACCACUUUGCAUCUAAAAAAAUUCAUAUACCAUGCGGCGGAAUUAGGGAGCAUAUGUACAUAACUGAGAAGAAUGUGCCAAAAUGCACGUGAAAUGUAGAAAGAUUCUAUACAAUCUAGCUAACAUAUCAAGCCUAUAUGAACUAUAGGGGACUAUUUUGAUGGAAUAUUUUUUUUCCAUACCAACUAUUCUUUUAUUAGCGUUCUGGUAGCACUACUCUGCAUUACAUCUGUAAUGCAUGGUAAAGAAUAGUAGACAAUGCAUAGACAGUAGCAGGUAGUAAAGACCGAUUCAUUCGACUGCACAAAAAUGCAUAAACAUAUGUGACAUAUAAAUGCCAGAGGUACAUACUGUGUCGACAAGGUAGCACUCUUAGCUUUUCUCCAACAGUGUAAUCUUCCAAGCAAAUGGCACAUGUUGAUGAUGUACAAUUGUCUUCUUGAACUUUUGUGAAGAUAAGACUAGGCAUUGCUUUCACUAAUUGACUGCUCAUUCCAUGGAACUCUCGAGCUCGGGGGAUUCGAGCCCUGUCCCGUCUUAUCUGGUGUCUCCUCACAAAGAAACAAGUGGCUAGGACAGCAGACAUGGCAAGCAGUGAUAUGAACGAAAUUGCCAUGAUUGACCAAGCUGAGUUCUCAUACGUUGGUAUUAUCCACAACUCUGCUUUAGUUUGACCUGAAUAUUUCUUCAACACCUCUCCUGAUGCCUUAGAGAUGAACACUGCAUAUAUGUGGACUUCGGACGAGCUUCCAGCCACUGCAACAUCUUGUAGUUAAUCGAUAUUGCAAAUAUAUGCACUCAACGAGUAAUGUAAAUGGUAAAGUUUUACAAUUGAUUUUGAUUACUGAAGAAUAGGACAAGGUUGCCUCAGUUCUCUGCCCUUUAGAUUCAACGAAGCUAAUCUAAUAAUUUACAGCAGUUUAAUGACUUACAGCAUUAUGGUUAGAAAUAAUCAAAUACCUAUAGAGCAACAGCCCUUUACGUGCACUAAUAAUGAAUAACAUGUAACUGAAGAUAUGCAAAAAAAAAUCUGGAGCAUUACUUGAAACAAGGACGCCAUUGUCUUCAUUAUCAUAUACUAUAGCAGCCUUGAACCCAGCAUUCUGCGCAUUUCUAACUUUGUCAUCGAAUUGGCAACCGCCUCUUAUAACCAAAGCAAAUGGCGAGACAGAGCCUUUAACUGCUUUAGUUCUCAAUGGAGUGCAUGCAUCCAGAGGUUCAGCAGCAUAAAGUGCACCAUUUACACCUGAAGCUUUCACCGCUGGAGCUGCAAUAAGACGGAAAGGUCAAUAAGCCUUGCAUAAACCAGAUAAUUUGGUUCAGGAGUGGCAUUGCACAUUAAUAGUCGCAACGGUACAAGCAUGGUGCUAGUGUAUAAGAAUAAACUAAGCGAUCAACCCAUUUAUUCACUAAUCAACAAAAGCACAACAAUUUAGCAUUGAAGAAAACAAAACAUAACAAUAAGUACAUAAAGAAUGUAUCAUAAUUUGAAGAAGUGGCAUUAAAUGGACAAGCACAACGCUUUUCUUAUGUUGACAUUCAAAUACUAGAUACUAAGGCUAGUCUCAGUGGGAGUGUCAUCGCACAGUUACCAAGACUGAGAACUUGAUAACUGUGCCGGAGAAGUGUAUCAUAGUGAUAGACACUCCUCUCUCAUUCCAUAAAACUCCCUCUCCUCUCUCCUCAUACUGCCAUGUCAGCAAAUUUGUUGAUGUGGCGUGAUUUUUAAUGCUUAUGGCACUCUUAUGACACUAGCAUUGAGAUUUGCCUAACUGAUCUGUACUGAGAUACAUGAAUAUAGGGAUAUAGUGUAAUAUUAUAUAGCACUCACUAAAUGUUGCCUCGACAUCAUCGAAUGACAAGGUUGUGUUGUUCGCCAUGAGUACAACAUUGCAGGCUCCCAGCUGAGCCAUGAGGAAAAUCACCAGAAAGAAACAAAGGGGAAAUGAUCCCCAUCUUCUUGGACAAGUCAUCUUGACAGAACUCCGUUCCUCUGGUCCAGCUAUAGAGCAGAGGAGUCCGCACAGAUGCUGCACUGCCGAACUGCAAACCUGUAACCGUGGAAGGUGCUAAUGCUGAGCACCAGGUCCAGAGCACCAGUCACCUAAACCACCUGCAAUCAUAUUACUACCAUUAAGCAAACAAACUUGGCAGGAGUGGCGUUAAUUUCACAGCAAUGCAAACAGCGUGCACAGUUUUAUGACCCUGAUAGAAUACAUGAUGGAGAAACAACCUAGAAUAAGUGAGCAAUAAAACCACAGGUCAAAAAGAUUCCUUUGUCAGGAGAGGUUUAUUUCUUCAAAAAAAAAACAGGAGAGGUUUCUUUUCCAGAGAAAUGGGCCUAAGAUUUACCCCAAAUCCAGUGUCGUCUCCAAGGAGGGUACGAUGAGAAUACGUGGAAUUGAACUAGAAUAUCCAUCGCACAGCUCAGCGAGCACCAACCGAACACAAAAGGAGCAGAGAACAUGGCAUUUGAAGCACGAAAUCGCCCAAAUCCACUCUGAAAGCGGCAUAGCACGACUCCUGCCCUAAAUUCCGCGGAAGAUUCCCACAUGAAAUCGGGUAACGAAACAAGAGCAGUAAAAACUGAAUCUUUGCAGAUUGCAAGGCAUCGAGGAGGAGAAAAGGACGCACCUUUUGACGGGAUUUGAUUUCUCCGGCACCGCAGCAGGAGAGUGAGACGGGGAAGGAGAGGAGGCGUCGGCGCAAGAGGAGAGGGACUAGGAGGAAUUAGCGGGUGGUGGAGGGGGAUCGAGAGUGGGGAUGGAGACGUCGGCUGCCAUGAGACGAGAAAUCUGCAGCCGAUUUGGAGCGGCAGGGCAGGGCAGGGCAGGGGGGAAGGAUAUGCCAGCCAAAUGGAAUUCCGCCCGCGGAAACCAGGAUUGCAGGAGGCUGGAAUGGAGGAAAUCAAUCAGAAAUGGAAUUGGGGAAUGAAAUAUUUAUUCCCCGUCGUUGCCUUGUCAUAUCCGUCCCUAUCCCUCUUCUUCAGUCCCUGGAUCCGAUAUUUCACUACACGCUGUACCCGUGCUUACCACUUGCCACAUGCUAUGCCGACCUCCUUCUUCUACUAACUCUUCUAAAAAUGUUUUAUAGAAACAAAACUCUUCAAAAAAAUGGUACCUUUUACUUUUGCCUAGUCUCUCGGCGUUUGUAUCUCUUUUUCUUCUUCCCAGAACAAGAAAGCUCCCAGGCAAAGAAGGUAAUGUAAUGUUUGCUCACUCAUCCCCUCAUUUAUUGCCUGACGUUAUCAUGUCGACAUGUGACCAUGCCUCUCCAAACAAUUCUCGAGAGCUGUAGGUCAGAUUACAUUGCCCAUCCACGUGUACAAAUCCGGAGAAAACAGAUCAUGGAUAUUCAUUCGUAUAUGCCCGAGGGGAAACUAGGCUAUUAUCUGCAGGAGGCUGUGCGUUUCUUCUUGUAUAGGGCCUCCGGGCCGGGCCUGCAGAAAAAGCUGGGUGGGCCUACCCAGUACAAACAGGCCGAAUCCUGUCAGCCUGCUGCGGCGGGUAGUUAGUAAUGGACUGAAUGCAUGGACCUUUCAGUCUGGCCCACAGUGUGAGGAAAAAAAAUAAUGCCCCGUACGCUACGUGGCACCACAAAGUUUGGUCAUUGGUCAAUGGUCGUCGUGUAACCAAAAAAACAUAGAGAAAUUAUAAAAGGACAUGGAACACCAUUUAUCUGCUACUGCAAGGAACCUAGCUAUAUGCUACAGAUCAGUAGUUGGCCUGCCCAGAGGCGUGUCUGAAUUGAAUCGCAAAGCUUCUCUGAAUGAAAAUAGCUAGUUAGUUCAACCUAGCUGGGUGGAUUAUUAAUUAACACAUAGUAGCUAAGGAACUAUUGAUGAUAUCGGAGUAGUCCUUGCUCUAAUCAGCGUGAAUGCAAUUAAUCUUAAUAUCGCCAGAUUACAUUAUUAGAACGAGUGCCCUCUCCCCGUUGGUGUUGCUUUGCUUAAUAUUAAUUGGCGUGAUCGAUAUCCAAUCAGCAACCCCCGUAUGGUACCUGCUUAUUAUU
rnacentral:lncRNA from 1 species